rnacentral:rRNA from 2 species
AACUCUGGUAUUGAUUGGUGCUUGCAUCAUGAUUUACAUUUGAGUGAGUGGCGAACUGGUGAGUAACACGUGGGAAACCUGCCCAGAAGCGGGGGAUAACACCUGGAAACAGAUGCUAAUACCGCAUAACAACUUGGACCGCAUGGUCCGAGUUUGAAAGAUGGCUUCGGCUAUCACUUUUGGAUGGUCCCGCGGCGUAUUAGCUAGAUGGUGAGGUAACGGCUCACCAUGGCAAUGAUACGUAGCCGACCUGAGAGGGUAAUCGGCCACAUUGGGACUGAGACACGGCCCAAACUCCUACGGGAGGCAGCAGUAGGGAAUCUUCCACAAUGGACGAAAGUCUGAUGGAGCAACGCCGCGUGAGUGAAGAAGGGUUUCGGCUCGUAAAACUCUGUUGUUAAAGAAGAACAUAUCUGAGAGUAACUGUUCAGGUAUUGACGGUAUUUAACCAGAAAGCCACGGCUAACUACGUGCCAGCAGCCGCGGUAAUACGUAGGUGGCAAGCGUUGUCCGGAUUUAUUGGGCGUAAAGCGAGCGCAGGCGGUUUUUUAAGUCUGAUGUGAAAGCCUUCGGCUCAACCGAAGAAGUGCAUCGGAAACUGGGAAACUUGAGUGCAGAAGAGGACAGUGGAACUCCAUGUGUAGCGGUGAAAUGCGUAGAUAUAUGGAAGAACACCAGUGGCGAAGGCGGCUGUCUGGUCUGUAACUGACGCUGAGGCUCGAAAGUAUGGGUAGCAAACAGGAUUAGAUACCCUGGUAGUCCAUACCGUAAACGAUGAAUGCUAAGUGUUGGAGGGUUUCCGCCCUUCAGUGCUGCAGCUAACGCAUUAAGCAUUCCGCCUGGGGAGUACGGCCGCAAGGCUGAAACUCAAAGGAAUUGACGGGGGCCCGCACAAGCGGUGGAGCAUGUGGUUUAAUUCGAAGCUACGCGAAGAACCUUACCAGGUCUUGACAUACUAUGCAAAUCUAAGAGAUUAGACGUUCCCUUCGGGGACAUGGAUACAGGUGGUGCAUGGUUGUCGUCAGCUCGUGUCGUGAGAUGUUGGGUUAAGUCCCGCAACGAGCGCAACCCUUAUUAUCAGUUGCCAGCAUUAAGUUGGGCACUCUGGUGAGACUGCCGGUGACAAACCGGAGGAAGGUGGGGAUGACGUCAAAUCAUCAUGCCCCUUAUGACCUGGGCUACACACGUGCUACAAUGGAUGGUACAACGAGUUGCGAACUCGCGAGAGUAAGCUAAUCUCUUAAAGCCAUUCUCAGUUCGGAUUGUAGGCUGCAACUCGCCUACAUGAAGUCGGAAUCGCUAGUAAUCGCGGAUCAGCAUGCCGCGGUGAAUACGUUCCCGGGCCUUGUACACACCGCCCGUCACACCAUGAGAGUUUGUAACACCCAAAGUCGGUGGGGUAACCUUUUAGGAACCAGCCGCCUAAGGUGGGACAGAUGAUUAGGGUGAAGUCGUAACAAGGUAGCCGUAGGAGAACCUGCGGCUGGAUCACCUCCUUUCUAAGGAAUAUUACGGAAACCUACACACGCGUCGAAACUUUGUUUAGUUUUGAGAGAUUUAACUCUCAAAAC